rnacentral:rRNA from 1 species
UACGAAGGGGGCUAGCGUUGCUCGGAAUCACUGGGCGUAAAGCGCACGUAGGCGGCUUUCUAAGUCAGGGGUGAAAUCCUGGAGCUCAACUCCAGAACUGCCUUUGAUACUGGAAAGCUUGAGUUCGGGAGAGGUGAGUGGAACUGCGAGUGUAGAGGUGAAAUUCGUAGAUAUUCGCAAGAACACCAGUGGCGAAGGCGGCUCACUGGCCCGAUACUGACGCUGAGGUGCGAAAGCGCGGGGAGCAAACAGG